rnacentral:lncRNA from 1 species
CUACCUGCUGUGGACGUAAUGUGGUUUUUUAAUGUAGUGUAAAUUUUUUUUCAGACUUUUGUAGGUCAUGUCCUUUUUUGAUUGUUUUUUAAUAAAAAAAAAAUCGCAAACAUCCCUUCGGGUACCCUGCUAACGUAGAUGGCGCGUUAAUUGUGUCAGUUAUGGGCUCAUGGCGGUUUGCUGUCAAAAGUGAAGCUAUCUUUCUUUCGAAAAUUACCAAUGUAUUUACUGGUAAAUUCGAGUGAUUUCAUCUGUAGAUUGUCGGAGAAAACGUGUUGAAAGGGUCGUGCGGCUUACUGCUGUUAACCAUUUGUUAUUCGUUCAAAAUCAUUGUUCAAAAUCAUUUGUUCAAAAUCAAUAUGUGCCAUCAAAAUGAAACAGGAUUCAUCAUAAUUGUCUGCUGUUUGUAUUGGACUUGCUAGAUCGCCAAUCCCAGCCAUUUCCCUAUUUUGAGUGUACACUACUAACUGUUUAAUCAUUUCUAGAUCAUAUAUGUCAAGCACAUUGAUGACACAAACUAUGAACAAGGUGACUUAAUGUUUUUUUAUUUACAAGUUCUUCAUUUCAGGUUUCUAACACAUUGGCAUGACAGAUUUGAUGAGCUAAGUCAUAUUUUGAAGGAAAAGGACAAGGACCAUACAGUCAACAAGGUUCCUUGUUUGCUAACCCGGUGGCUGCUACCCUUCCAUCUCCCUGAUUUACUUCCUUACACAGGGUUUACAGGGUAACUCUUUUGCUACUGAUCACAUCAACUGUUGUAAACUGACGAGAAGGUGCUGCAAUUCAAGACUGAUACAUUGUGUAGUUGUUAGAUAAAUGACAAGUGCAUAUCUGGGCUCCCUUCUUUUCUGUGGCCCCGUUUCCCUAACUAACCACUAACCAACGCCCGCCGGUGGU